rnacentral:rRNA from 1 species
UUUUUUUAUAUUCAAUAGCGGAGGAAAAGAAACCAACAGGGAUUCCCCUAGUAACGGCGAGUGAAGCGGGAACAGCUCAAAUUUGAAAUCUGGCCCUUGGGUCCGAGUUGUAAUUUGCAGAGGAUGCUUUUGGUGCGGUGCCUUCCGAGUUCCCUGGAACGGGACGCCUUAGAGGGUGAGAGCCCCGUACGGUUGGACACCAAGCCUAUGUAAAGCUCCUUCGACGAGUCGAGUAGUUUGGGAAUGCUGCUCAAAAUGGGAGGUAUAUUUCUUCUAAAGCUAAAUAUUGGCCAGAGACCGAUAGCGCACAAGUAGAGUGAUCGAAAGAUGAAAAGCACUUUGAAAAGAGGGUUAAAUAGCACGUGAAAUUGUUGAAAGGGAAGGAUUUAUGACCAGACUUUUUCUAGGGGGAUCAUCCGGUGUUCUCACCGGUGCACUUCCCCUAGUUGAGGCCAGCAUCGGUUUCUGUCGGGGGAUAAAAGCUUUAGGAAUGUGGCUCCCUCCGGGGAGUGUUAUAGCCUGUUGCAUAAUACCCUGACGGGGACCGAGGUCCGCGCAUUGCAAGGAUGCUGGCGUAAUGGUUAUUAAUCACCCGUCUUGAAACACGGACCAAGGAGUCGAACAUUUGUGCGAGUGUUUGGGUGUUAAACCCUCACGCGUAAUGAAAGUGAACGGAGGUGAGAGCCUUUCGGGGUGCAUCAUCGACCGAUCCUGAUGUCUUCGGAUGGAUUUGAGUAAGAGCAUUAAUGUUCGGACCCGAAAGAUGGUGAACUAUGCGUGGAUAGGGUGAAGCCAGAGGAAACUCUGGUGGAGGCUCGCAGCGGUUCUGACGUGCAAAUCGAUCGUCAAAUCUGCGCAUGGGGGCGAAAGACUAAUCGAACCAUCUAGUAGCUGGUACGCAGAAUUUCCUCUCUCCAGAGAA